GAAAUGUAUCAUUUCAGGCAGGAUGUGCUGCAUGAGCCAGGUCCAUCCUUCAAAGGAAGAAAUGCAAAAUCCAUCACGCCCUGGACAGCUUCUGCAGUGUUGCAGCUGCGAAGACAGAGAACGGGCUCUCCAGGGUGACGCUGCUUUAAGUUGACGGGUGUCUGCAGCAUCAGAGCCUGGGCUUCCUCUCGCCCACAGCACACUCCAGUGUGAAGACAGUUCAAGAGAUUGUAGACCAGGGAAGCUUCACCUCCCAGCUGGAGACAGGCCGGGGAAUAGAAUUCAGGGAAUGGAAAUGUACUCAGCCUAGUUCCCAGCCAAAAGGGGGCUGAUGCUUGCUGAUUUUCUUUGUCUUCACCUUCCAAGUGCUGAGUGAAUGGGCACUUCUCUGAAGCACUGAAAGUGUCCUGAGAAAUAGUUAAACUGUGGAGUUCUUCACUUGAGAAGUCAAGACACAGCCCACGACCUUGUCACUCCUGAGCAGGUUCAGACAGGACAAGGGACUUCACAUGUGACAAAGGACGUCUCUGCGAAUGGAAGAGGAAACUCUGCGAGAACCCUGACCCAGGUCUCUCUGGCACACACUGAGAGCAGCUUUGCACCAUAUUCCCCAGGAGACCACCUUGCUGCCCAGCUCACACCGAAUAAGAAUGCCAGUUGUCAUUGCAGGAACCAAAGUAAAUCUUUCUGUCAUUUUUCCCACAGAAGGCAGGCUCAACUAGUCAAUGAAACAACUUCCUCUAAAGCUCAUGGCCCAGAUGGGCUCCCUUGGCUCGCCCGGGAAGUGAGUUGUCCUCACUGCCAGGAGAUGGUGCAAAGAGAAAACAGGAAUCUUUAAUUAAAAAGGAAGAGGAGACAGCAAUUGUCCCCACUCUCAGGGGGAAGGGCCUGCGCCCGCCCGGGGUGGGCAUUAUUCUUGCCUUUCACAGAGGGUCGCUUCACUCACAUUUUUGUUCGGUUGCUAACUUCACCUUCCCGAGUAACACCUGGAUCUACAAGGUGAUGGUGAGGGGGGGUCAAAGAGAAGGAGUAGUUGCAAAUGGAGAGAAGAUAAAGUCUUCGAGAAUCUGCGUUCUUUGACUGCUUCUUCUGCCCCCUUGCUUAUAAGUGUAACAAGGGGGUUCCCAGGAAAAAAGGAGUUUCCAGGUUCCCUGCCCCACCCCACAAAAGGGUGGAGCUGAGUGGGAAGGAGAAGAAUCUGGACAGAGGA